AGCAGCCGCGGUAAUUCCAGCUCCAAUAGCGUAUAUUAAAGUUGUUGCAGUUAAAAAGCUCGUAGUUGAAUUUCGGGGUUAGCAGGUCGGUCGUGCCAUCGGUAUGAACUGGUCUCGCUGAUCCCUCCCUCUUGACGAACUGUGAUGCCAUUAAUUUGGUGUCGCAGGGAAUCAGGACUGUUACUUUGAAAAAAUUAGAGUGUUUAAAGCAGGCUCACGCUUGAAUACAUUAGCAUGGAAUAAUGAAAUAGGACGUUUGAUCCUAUUUUGUUGGUUUCUAGGAUCGACGUAAUGAUUAAUAGGGAUAGUUGGGGGCAUUAGUAUUCAAUUGUCAGAGGUGAAAUUCUUGGAUUUAUUGAAGACUAACUACUGCGAAAGCAUUUGCCAAGGAUGUUUUCAUUAAUCAAGAACGAAAGUUAGGGGAUCGAAGACGAUCAGAUACCGUCGUAGUCUUAACCAUAAACUAUGCCGACUAGGGAUCGGAUGAUGUUAAUUUUUUAAUGACUCAUUCGGCGCCUUACG
rnacentral:rRNA from 1 species